rnacentral:rRNA from 2 species
UGCUGGAGGUAUCAGAAGUGCGAAUGCUGACAUAAGUAACGAUAAAGCGGGUGAAAAGCCCGCUCGCCGGAAGACCAAGGGUUCCUGUCCAACGUUAAUCGGGGCAGGGUGAGUCGACCCCUAAGGCGAGGCCGAAAGGCGUAGUCGAUGGGAAACGGGUUAAUAUUCCCGUACUUGGUGUUACUGCGAAGGGGGGACGGAGAAGGCUAUGUUGGCCGGGCGACGGUUGUCCCGGUUUAAGCGUGUAGGUGUGUGUUCCAGGUAAAUCCGGUUCACUUUAACACUGAGGCGUGACGACGAGGCACUACGGUGCUGAAGCAACAAAUGCCCUGCUUCCAGGAAAAGCCUCUAAGCAU